rnacentral:rRNA from 1 species
AGAUUGAACGCUGGCGGCAUGCCUAACACAUGCAAGUCGAACGGGAGUAGCAAUACUCUAGUGGCGGACGGGUGAGGAAUACGUAGGAAUUUGCCCUUAAGUGGGGGAUAACCCGGGGAAACCCGGAUUAAUACCGCAUGACCUCGAAAGAGCAAAGUGGGGGAUCGCAAGACCUCACGCUUUUGGAGAAGCCUACGUCGGAUUAGCUAGUUGGUGAGGUAAUGGCUCACCAAGGCGACGAUCCGUAACUGGUCUGGGAGAUGAUCAGUCACACCGAACUGAGACACGGUCCGACUCCACGGGAGGCAGCAGUGGGGAAUAUUGGACAAGUGGGCGCAAGCCUGAAUCCAGCAAUGCCGCGUGUGUAGAAGAAGGCCGUUCGGUUGUAAGGACUAGUUAACGUUAGGGUAAAGAAAAACGUAACGUAACGUCUAACCAACAGUAGAGU